rnacentral:lncRNA from 10 species
CCUUCUAGGAAGUGAGGCUUGUGCACGUGACUUGCUUUGGCCAAUGGAAUUGGAAGUAUCAUGUGCAACUUCUGGCCAGAGGUUUUAAAAGACACUGGUUCUUUUCCAUUUUUCCUCUGCAAUAAACAUGGCUACAUCCAGAUAGAGCCUGGACGUUUAAAUGAAGACAUGGAGCACAGCUGCCAUCAACCCAUAGUGAAAAAACAGAGACUUUGAGCUUUGAGGCUGGAGUAAGAGAAGCAGACACUUUGAAGCCCUUUAGAAGCAAAAUAGCACAUAAAGUGAAGAAGUCACAGUGACUGCUGUCGUUCCGAAAGCGCAGACUGCAUUUCCAAAAGGAUUUGAUCUUGUCUGAGUUUAACCCGGAAGAUUACAAAUCUGUGUCACUGGCAAUACUAUUAAUUCCUAGAGAGUUUUACUAAUAUCUUUUCUCUAUCUUGUCUGCCUUAAAACUUUCCCCAAGGUACCGGGUGAACAGAAUUCUUUUCCUUUAUAAUUGUUGUAAUCUCCCAUUUUCUCACUGACCUCCCCUAUCCCCCCAAAACCUUUCUAAAUCUUCCUAAGUGGCAAAUUAAAGGAUUUGCCCCUGGUGCUGCCUCUGACCCUUUAGAAGCUGAAUGACAAUUGUUUCCUCUCUUUUCUUCCUGACUCCUCCCCUUAUCCCUGUCUUGGGAAGUUGAGCUUCUUCCAGUGAAGUCUUUCCCAUCAAUCCCAGGGACCUCCUCUGCUCUGUUUGUCUACAAUCAUGAGAUUGGGCAUUUCUUCAGAGUUUAAAAUCAGGCUUUGCAAUUUGACUUUUGGGGACUGGGAACAGAGUGUGGUAUGGGGAUAAUUUUUUAAUAAUGCCUUGGUCUCUUACCCAGAGAACUGUCAGCCAACCCCACUCUCCAAUCCCCAGGGGAAACUGCCAAUAUUACCAUAGGAAGGAUCAAUAGAGUUGCCUCAGCAACAGUAAUCAGCCAUGAAACCAUUUUUCCUGGCUGUUUGGAUACACUGAGUGGACUGGGAGCAGAGGUGUGUCCUUCCUGUCUUUCACGGAGUCCAUGGAUAUGAGUUGAUUGUAUUCACUGGAUCCAGUCCCCUGCAAUGGGCACUAGGUGAGGUCACAGCCUGAAGAGGAUCUGUGAGAAGCCUGAUUUCACUUGAGAUUUCCUAAGAGAGCCUUUGAAAUAUGCCGCCACAUCCUAAAAGUUUUCAAGAACAUUUGUCAGGAGCCAAAUUUCUAGGAGUCAGAAAUGUAUAUUUAACAGCCGACUCCACUCUGGUCAUUUGCUGAGAUCUGCACCCCUUGUUCUGGCAUAGAAAAGAAAAGAAUCAGUUGGAAUCAGGGUGGAAGAAUAAGACUUGGCUGUUAGCUGCAAAGACAAGGAGCAGGCAGAGUAGAUUGUGGGGUUUUUUUCCCCGCUCAUUGAUUCCAGCUUUAGCCCAGCACAAGUUUAUUUUUAAAAAUGUGGAUGCUCCAUUUUCAGAGAGUGAUCUAAAAAUAUAUGCCUGCAUGCCUGUGGCUGUAAUGUGUAUAUAAAUCCAAAGCCACAAAAGAAAGUGAUUAUAUUAUACUCAGGAGCUCAGAUGCAUUACAAAGCAGAACUGGAGGAGCCCUCCCUACCUUCCUCAUCAGGAAAGAACAUAUGUGCACAUUAUGUCCAUGUAUAUAUUUUCAGAGUGAGUUUCAUGAAUGAGUAAGAUAGGUUUUCUAUGCAGAGUAAUUUAAGGACACCAAGAAAGGCUGUUUUUCAAGUAUGAUGCCAUAUUGGCCCUCUAUGCUGUCUAAAAUGACACCCUUGGCAAAAAUAAAACUAUAAGAAUGAAAGCAAACGUUGAUUAGGGGUGCUGUUUCCACAUGUUAGGCAUCAUGCUUAGUCUUUUCAGGUUUCACUCCCUUUACUCCACAUUAGAACAAAGUAAAUCAGGUACUGAUAUUAUUAUGAUGUAACAGAUGAAGAAACUGAAGUUAAUGAGAUUGAGUAAGUUGUCCAAAGCCAUGCCCAGAAGGAAAAUGUUUUCUGAUUCCACAACCCAUGUCGUUAACAACCACAUGAUGAGAGGCAGUGUGCACGGUGGUUAAGAAUGGGCCCAGCUUCUAGCGCCAGGCUGCCUGGAUUUGAAACUGAAGUCUGCCUAAUACCAGCUUUUUCAUUAUAAGCAAGCUAUUUAACCUCUCUGUGCCUCAGUUUCCUUCUCGGUAAAAAAUAAGGAUAAUAAUUUGACUCUUAGAGUUGCUGAAAGGAAUCAAUAGGUUAAUUGAUGUAAAGCUCUUAGAGAAUGAAAGUCAUCAGGGACUGGCAAAGUUUUACUUUUUGCAUUGCACGGCCACCCAAAGCCUAUACUGCAUAGUGAAUGUGUUUUCUUUUACAAACGAGUAGAGUACUAAAAGCUACAGACUCAGACAAUCUGCUGUUGAGGCUCAGAAAAGCCAAUACUCCAAAAUGAAAGUCUCAUAAGCAAAAUUUCUCUUGGAACUUCUGCCCUCCUGUCUCUCGCCUCUUAUUCUCUCCUGAGGAAUAGUAAUUAGAAUACCUCUUCCCCAGGAUGGGUCAGAGAAACCAGAACCCCUUUCCCCCAAAGCCAGUUAGAAAGCCUGAAAAUAUUACUCUAACCUUCCCUCAUCUUUCUGUGUAACAGCAGGCCAUUAAGAAAUUGAGACCUUUAUUCCAGAGAAGUCCUAUCCCAUACCUGGGAGGAAAAAAAAUAAAAAGCUACAACAGAGAGGCCAAGAAGAAUCUGGACAGACAGGCCUUGGUGGGUUUCCUCACUCAACUACCAUUAGCUCAUAACCUUUUUGUCCAAUCGCAUUUCUACAUGACUGUCCUGGCUUCAUUGAACCUAAGCAUAAAAUCAUACAGCUUCUCCUGUAUCUUUGGGUCUUCAAUCUGAAAGCCAUUGUUGAAUAAAAGUCUAAUCAAAUAAAUUUGUUAUCCAUUUCUCUUGUUAAACUGUCUUUUGUUAUAAGAGUGUCAGCUGCAACUUUAAUGAUGGGAAGGAAAGGGAUAAUCCUCUUUCUGCC